AGCUUUUCUUGAAGGAAGGAAGGAGGGAAGAAGAGGGGAAAUCUGUUUGUGUGCAGGGGACAAUGAUGCUAAGAUCAACUAUUUUUUAAGGAGCUGCUUCUUACAGAGGAUGCCUUCUUCAGUGCUUUCCACUACAUGCUACAGAAAAAAUAUUAACUCAAGAAAAACCAAACAAAAUCUUACCCACAGUCUGGAGCUGGACACCACCUACAAUCAGGAUCUGCAACAAGCCACCGUCUAAGCAUAAAUUCUUCAUAUUUUUCCAUCAAGACAUCAUCACUUAAUAUCAAGCGAAUAUCAUGGGGAUUAAACCGUUCAGUACAUUCUGGGCAACUGAUAUUAACUCUACUUUCAGAAAUUUCUAUCCUUAGAUAUUGUCGUAAGCAAUCCACACAAGAUCUAUGAUGACAAGUCAUUAUCUCAGGAAAUCUGUCUUUAGAAUGCCGCAAAAGGCACAAAGGGCACUCUAUAAAGUCUCCAAUUUGUUUGCUGAUAGAAGUUAAUCCAUUGUCAGAAGAGGUAUUUGUAGAGAAAAUGGAGUUCUUAUCAGUACACAUUUCAGAAUGUAUACUUUCAAUGCUUGCAAUUCCAUCCACCCCGCCAUUUAGCUCCCUGGAUUUACGUUUGUUAUCCUUUUUCCUCCGAAACAGAGAGCCUAUUGAAAUUCUUCUUUUUUUGGGUGCCUUUUUCACUGAAGGCAAGCUUACAGAUGAAGCAGAAGACUGAAGAUCACGAUCUGAACCCAUUUGCCGAUGUAAACUCAUGUCUAAAAUGCUCAUUAGAAUGGAGUCAGGAUCCGUGUUUAUACACAGCCCUUCAUUAUAUUUAGAGAUAAAACCUAUUUCUUGCUCUUGCAUUCAGAUUAAGCCAUGAUGUAAGAGAAUCCUACUUGGUUCUUUCAGAGAAUUCUUGAAAAAGCUUGACUCACAGAAGACUAUUAUCAUAGAUGGUCUGAAAAACAAAACACAACACCAAGAUCAUUUUAUUGUAUUCUUAGUCUGCAUGUUUUUAAAAUAAACUUAAACCUUACUAUGCAACUUCAAACCAGUAUGUUCUUUAAUUAGGUGGUUUUUUUUUAAUAAGACCAAUUUACUUAGUCUAUAUGAGAAUGUAAGAGUAUAUAUACAGUGAGCACUAAA